ACAUAUUUAUUCUCAUUCUUUCAUCGUUCAAAAUCAAAUUCUAGAGAGAAAGAGAGAGUAAAGGAGUUCGAGCGAGAGAGAAAGGAGGGAGAAGAAGAAACUUCAAGUUCCAAGUUCUUUGCAUGUGAGAAAAUAUAAAAAUGCGGGGACCUGGGAACAUUACGAGUCGUAGUGUCCAUUACGGGUUGACCAUAAUGAUACAUGUUUGUGUUUGUGUGUGU
rnacentral:lncRNA from 1 species